CCCGAGCGAGAGCGUGACAUAACAACAUGACAGUACAAAAACGAUGAAGGAAGAAGCUUGCUUUUUCUGGAUUAGUGGCGAACGGGUGAGUAACACGUGAGCAAUCUGCCCUUGACUCUGGGAUAAGCGUUGGAAACGACGUCUAAUACCGGAUACGACCCUCGGAGGCAUCUCCUGGGGGUGGAAAGAAUUUUGGUCAAGGAUGAGCUCGCGGCCUAUCAGCUAGUUGGUGAGGUAAUGGCUCACCAAGGCGACGACGGGUAGCCGGCCUGAGAGGGUGACCGGCCACACUGGGACUGAGACACGGCCCAGACUCCUACGGGAGGCAGCAGUGGGGAAUAUUGCACAAUGGGCGAAAGCCUGAUGCAGCAACGCCGCGUGAGGGAUGACGGCCUUCGGGUUGUAAACCUCUUUUAGUAGGGAAGAAGCGAAAGUGACGGUACCUGCAGAAAAAGCACCGGCUAACUACGUGCCAGCAGCCGCGGUAAUACGUAGGGUGCAAGCGUUGUCCGGAAUUAUUGGGCGUAAAGAGCUCGUAGGCGGUUUGUCGCGUCUGCUGUGAAAUCUGGGGGCUCAACCCCCAGCCUGCAGUGGGUACGGGCAGACUAGAGUGCGGUAGGGGAGAUUGGAAUUCCUGGUGUAGCGGUGGAAUGCGCAGAUAUCAGGAGGAACACCGAUGGCGAAGGCAGAUCUCUGGGCCGUAACUGACGCUGAGGAGCGAAAGCAUGGGGAGCGAACAGGAUUAGAUACCCUGGUAGUCCAUGCCGUAAACGUUGGGAACUAGAUGUGGGGACCAUUCCACGGUCUCCGUGUCGCAGCUAACGCAUUAAGUCUCCCCGCCUGGGGAGUACGGCCGCAAGGCUAAAACUCAAAGGAAUUGACGGGGGCCCGCACAAGCGGCGGAAGCAUGCGGAUUAAUUCGAUGCAACGCGAAGAACCUUACCAAGACUUGACAUAUACGAGAACGGGCCAGAAAUGGUCAACUCUUUGGACACUCGUAAACAGGUGGUGCAUGGUUGUCGUCAGCUCGUGUCGUGAGAUGUUGGGUUAAGUCCCGCAACGAGCGCAACCCUCGUCCUAUGUUGCCAGCACGUAAUGGUGGGAACUCAUGGGAUACUGCCGGGGUCAACUCGGAGGAAGGUGGGGAUGACGUCAAAUCAUCAUGCCCCUUAUGUCUUGGGCUUCACGCAUGCUACAAUGGCCGGUACAAAGGGCUGCGAUACCGUAAGGUGGAGCGAAUCCCAAAAAGCCGGUCUCAGUUCGGAUUGAGGUCUGCAACUCGACCUCAUGAAGUCGGAGUCGCUAGUAAUCGCAGAUCAGCAACGCUGCGGUGAAUACGUUCCCGGGCCUUGUACACACCGCCCGUCAAGUCAUGAAAGUCGGUAACACCCAACGCCAGUUGCCUAACCCCUUG
rnacentral:rRNA from 1 species